rnacentral:lncRNA from 1 species
UGAUAUUGCCUUGUGGAAGUUUGAGACCACCAAGUACUACUGCACUGUGAUUGAUGCUCCUGGACACAGGGACUUCAUCAAGAAUAUGAUUACUGGUACCUCCCAAGCCGACUGUGCUGUCCUGAUUAUUGACUCCACCACUGGUGGUUUUGAAGCUGGUAUCUCUAAGGAUGGACAGACCCUUGAACAUGCAUUGCUUGCUUUCACCCUUGGUUUCAAGCAAAUGACUUGCUGCUGUAAGUUUUUAGUGGCUUUGUAGUUGAAGAUUGAUGUGUUUGCUAACCAGCUUUAUUCCUUGUGCAGAUGGAUGCUACCACCCCCAAGUACUCCAAGGCUAGGUACGAUGAAAUCGUAAAGGAGGUUUCUUCCUACCUCAAGAAGGUAGGAUACAACCCUGACAAAAUCCCCUUUGUCCCCAUCUCUGGUUUCGAGGGUGAUAACAUGAUCGAAAGAUCAACCAACCUUGACUGGUACAAGGGCCCAACUCUUCUUGAGGCUCUUGACCAGAUUAAUGAGCCCAAGAGGCCCUCAGACAAGCCCCUCAGGCUCCCACUUCAGGAUGUCUACAAGAUUGGUGGUAUUGGUACUGUCCCUGUUGGUCGUGUGGAAACCGGUAUCCUCAAGCCUGGUAUGGUUGUGACCUUGAGGCUCUUGACCAGAUCAAUGAGCCCAAGAGGCCCUCAGACAAGCCCCUCAGGCUCCCACUUCAGGAUGUGUACAAGAUUGGUGGUAUUGGUACUGUCCCUGUUGGUCGUGUGGAAACCGGUAUCCUCAAGCCUGGUAUGGUUGUGACUUUUGGUCCCACUGGUUUGACCACUGAAGUUAAAUCUGUUGAGAUGCACCACGAAGCUCUUCAGGAGGCACUUCCUGGUGAUAAUGUUGGAUUCAACGUCAAGAACGUUGCAGUGAAGGAUCUCAAGCGUGGGUUUGUUGCUUCCAACUCCAAGGAUGACCCAGCUAAGGGUGCUGCCAGCUUUACCUCCCAAGUCAUCAUCAUGAACCAUCCAGGACAGAUUGGAAAUGGAUAUGCUCCAGUGCUUGACUGCCACACCUCCCACAUUGCUGUCAAGUUUGCAGAA